AGACCCGAAACCCGGUGAUCUAGCCAUGGGCAGGUUGAAGGUUGGGUAACACUAACUGGAGGACCGAACCGACUAAUGUUGAAAAAUUAGCGGAUGACCUGUGGCUGGGGGUGAAAGGCCAAUCAAACCGGGAGAUAGCUGGUUCUCCCCGAAAGCUAUUUAGGUAGCGCCUCGUGAAUUCAUCUCCGGGGGUAGAGCACUGUUUCGGCUAGGGGGCCAUCCCGGCUUACCAACCCGAUGCAAACUGCGAAUACCGGAGAAUGUUAUCACGGGAGACACACGGCGGGUGCUAACGUCCGUCGUGAAGAGGGAAACAACCCAGACCGCCAGCUAAGGUCCCAAAGUCAUGGUUAAGUGGGAAACGAUGUGGGAAGGCCCAGACAGCCAGGAUGUUGGCUUAGAAGCAGCCAUCAUUUAAAGAAAGCGUAAUAGCUCACUGGUCGAGUCGGCCUGCGCGGAAGAUGUAACGGGGCUAAACCAUGCACCGAAGCUGCGGCAGCGACACUCAGGUGUUGUUGGGUAGGGGAGCGUUCUGUAAGCCUGUGAAGGUGUGUCGUGAGGCAUGCUGGAGGUAUCAGAAGUGCGAAUGCUGACAUAAGUAACGAUAAAGCGGGUGAAAAGCCCGCUCGCCGGAAGACCAAGGGUUCCUGUCCAACGUUAAUCGGGGCAGGGUGAGUCGACCCCUAAGGCGAGGCCGAAAGGCGUAGUCGAUGGGAAACGGGUUAAUAUUCCCGUACUUGGUGUUACUGCGAAGGGGGGACGGAGAAGGCUAUGUUGGCCGGGCGACGGUUGUCCCGGUUUAAGCGUGUAGGUGUGUGUUCCAGGUAAAUCCGGUUCACUUUAACACUGAGGCGUGAUGACGAGGCACUACGGUGCUGAAGCAACAAAUGCCCUGCUUCCAGGAAAAGCCUCUAAGCAUCAGGUAACAUCAAAUCGUACCCCAAACCGACACAGGUGGUCAGGUAGAGAAUACCAAGGCGCUUGAGAGAACUCGGGUGAAGGAACUAGGCAAAAUGGUGCCGUAACUUCGGGAGAAGGCACGCUGACACGUAGGUGAAGUGAUUUACUCAUGGAGCUGAAGUCAGUCGAAGAUACCAGCUGGCUGCAACUGUUUAUUAAAAACACAGCACUGUGCAAACACGAAAGUGGACGUAUACGGUGUGACGCCUGCCCGGUGCCGGAAGGUUAAUUGAUGGGGUCAGCGCAAGCGAAGCUCCUGAUCGAAGCCCCGGUAAACGGCGGCCGUAACUAUAACGGUCCUAAGGUAGCGAAAUUCCUUGUCGGGUAAGUUCCGACCUGCACGAAUGGCGUAAUGAUGGCCAGGCUGUCUCCACCCGAGACUCAGUGAAAUUGAACUCGCUGUGAAGAUGCAGUGUACCCGCGGCAAGACGGAAAGACCCCGUGAACCUUUACUAUAGCUUGACACUGAACAUUGAGCCUUGAUGUGUAGGAUAGGUGGGAGGCUUUGAAGCGUGGACGCCAGUCUGC
rnacentral:rRNA from 1 species